AGAUUGAACGCUGGCGGCAGGCCUAACACAUGCAAGUCGAGCGGUAGAGAGGUGCUUGCAUCUCUUGAGAGCGGCGGACGGGUGAGUAAUGCCUAGGAAUCUGCCUGGUGGUGGGGGAUAACGUUCGGAAACGGACGCUAAUACCGCAUACGUCCUACGGGAGAAAGCGGGGGACCUUCGGGCCUCGCGCCAUUAGAUGAGCCUAGGUCGGAUUAGCUAGUUGGUGAGGUAAUGGCUCACCGAAGGCGACGAUCCGUAACUGGUCUGAGAGGAUGAUCAGUCACA
rnacentral:rRNA from 1 species